UGGUUCAAAAGGUGAUUUUUUUUAUUGGACAUUCCAAAAGCGGUUGAUAUUUUAUAAAGUGCUUACAUAAUUAUUGUUUGAAACUAAAAAUAAUUUAUGAAACACUUUUAAUAUAUCUUAAUAUUUGCCACUUUUGUUGCCUAUACUACUCCAUACAUUAAGUAAUAAAUACACUAUUACAUAGAGUGCAAUAUUUUUAGUAUUCACGACUGGUUAAAAUUAAUGCUCUUCUCAAGAAAGUAAUCAAUAUCAUGCCCAAAUUCCAAACUAAUGUUCGAGAGAUUGAUUUAUAAAAACUAAAAUAAACAUAACGGGCAUUAUCUUUUUAAGCAUGACACCUGUAAAAACAGACAAGAUGGAAAGGACAUAAAGAAGGAAAUGGGUCCUAACAUGCCUUGUUCCAUGUGCCCGGAUGGGUAAAUGGUGAGGCCCAACCUCAAGUCCUGUUUUCUGAUGGCCAUCACAUUUCCCUAUAUGCUUCCUGUCAUAAUGCAAACUGGAUGAGCAGCUCCUUGAAAGCAGACAGUUGUACUGUAACAAAGCACAAGCAUUUCCAGAAGCUGCCACAUUAUGCAAAAUCAUAUGAUAGAAACCACAGGGCUCAUGGGGAAAAAAUGGGGGUAGGAAUACAACACUCAAAAACAUCAAUGACACAAAAAAUAGAAUAAAACACGGCAGCACAGUGUUACAUGUCAAAUGGUUAAGAAAUAUAUAAAUAAUGCUAUAAAUAUGACACUUUAUCUUGAAAAAGAUCUGAAGUGUGCUUGUGCAAGUGGAUGUUGGAAGUGCUGCAGCUUGAGACGUGUCAGAAGGAGGGCUGUGUGAAGGUAGAGGUAAAGUUGCUAACACCAGAUGUGGUUAAGUGCGGACCCUCACACGUGAAGAGCUGAGCGCUGACAGAUGUCUGAGAUGAGUACACAUGUGCACUCAGUAUAUUUAUAAACAGUUGUCUUUCAUCCAUGUUUCCACAAUGAAAUUCACACAUUAAAUGCAAAAUGCAUAUAAUGCCUAAGUUCCCUAAUAUGUCAAGUAUGUUGGAACAAAUUUGCUCAAAAAAAGAAGAGACUCUACUGUGGUUCCACUUACCCUUGAAUCCCCUACAAUGCCAAUAGCAAAUGUCCAACAAAUGUCUUUUGCAGAGAGGUCUAAGUUAACAUGUAGGGGGGAAAAUUCCAUAAUGGAAUGCCAAGAAUUUUCCCCAAGCAAGAAGAAAGAGAAAAAUUAUCAAGGGAAUGGAACUGUCUUUCACAUAAUCCUCUGGGUGAACGUAUGAGGCAGAUACCAUCUCUGUUUUUGUUUUUUGUCUUUUUGCCUUUUCUAGGCCCGCUCCCUCGGCAUAUGGAGGUUCCCAGGCUAGGGGUCAAAUCGGAGCCGUAGCCACCAGCCUACACCAGAGCCACCAGCGUCUGCAACCUUCACCACAGCUCACAGCAAUGCCGGGUCCUUAACCCACUGAGCAAGGCCAGGGAUCGAACCCGCAACCUCAUGGUUCUUGGUCGGAUUCAUUAACCACUGCGCCACAACGGGAACUCCCCAUCUCUGUUUUAAGAUGAGAAAAGGUUUUAAAAGGUCUCCUAACUACUGAAUAGCAGAUAAGGUCUCUGAAUAUAGUUUAGUCUACUGUCGAUGCCUAUGCCUUUUCCAUAAAUUAUAAAAAUAUUUAUAAUUUGUUUAUAAUAUACAUUAUAAAACUCCAAACACUGGGAAGAGACAACUUGAGCAAUGUUAUUUACUAUGCGCUCCCUGGAGCGGUUUUCAUCUUUACAAAAUAGCAGUAAUUGUUCCUUUGAACAUAUGCACUUCAACUUCUAUGAAUCAUGACUAAAUGAAACUACCUUUUUGGAAAUUCAUACGUGUCCUUAUAAGGAACUCUUUAGUCACAAUUCUUCAACAGAUUCUCCUCCACUAGCAUUGAACACAUCAGUGAUAAAUAUUAUUCACACUUAAGGUUUCUGGAGACCUUUGGUGAUUAAAAUCAUCUGGAAUUGUUACAAUCCCAGUUAAAAAACAAAGUGUUUUUAAAAGGAGGAUUUUAGCUGAACUGGACAAAAAUAGACAUCUGAAUACAAUGUACAGUGCAUUGUCAUAUGCCAGUUUAUUAAC
rnacentral:lncRNA from 1 species